rnacentral:lncRNA from 1 species
GAGUUAGAAAAAUUGAUUUUAAAUAAAUGAAUUUUUAAUAAUAAUUUUUUUUUGAAAAGACUAAUUGAAACAAUUCACCUAAAACCCCAAAAUUAGUAGAACUGCUCAUGCAUGUAAUGAUAGUGACGUAGAUGUAAUGCUAGAAUGAAAAAAGUAAAUAAAAUUUACAAAAAUGUAUAAGAUUAGAAUCAAGUUUUUAAUAAUUUUUCAACCUUGAUGUGCAUGGCACACGUUAAAGUAUGGGUGGCUCUAGCUCCUGCAUACACCAAAUACUGGACUAUCAAGAUUAUUACUAUAUUUUUUUAUAAGGACUCAAGCUUAUUACUUGCUUCAGCAAAAAGUUGAUUCAAUUGGCGUUAGAAUCUCAAGAAUUGGUGACGAUAAGACCUGACAUUUCUUCUAACAACAGUUGCUGGCAAGUGCAAAAAGGAAAAGAAAACAAGGUGAAGAUGAAAGCAAUACAGACUCAUUCAUAGAAACUAAAUUGAUUAUUAAUCUGAUCAACAUUAUUUUCAAUCUGAUCACGAUUUCACUUUCUCAUUUCUUUCUUUUCCGAUGCAAUUGUUUUUUUUUUUUUAACUUAUUUUAAUAUUUUACUUACUUUUAUUUUUCUCACUGAGCUCUUGAUACCCUUGGACGGGUCCAACAAGAGUCAUAUGAAUGAAAGUUUUUCUAAAAAAAAUAAAAGACUCCAAAUCUCAAAAUUUGUUCAAGGUCAGACAAAAAGUCAAAAUUGGCCUAAACUUACUCGAUCAUAAUAAGGCAAGUAAAAGUAAUAUAAAUAAUUUUUUUUUUCAAGGCAAGUAGAGUUUUUAGAGUCUCAAAACUUACUCGAGAUGGGGCAAAAAGCCUAAGUCUGCCUCAAUUGUGUGACCCGGAUUAAGUCGAGCAAGUUUAUUUAUGUUUUCAUUUUUAGUGAAAAUUUUAUUUUCAAAUGUCGAGAUUAUGACUAUUAUGUUGGAAUAAGAAAAUUUUUGAUGAAAACCAUCACCUAUAUCUAAAGAAUAUUCAUGUUGGGGGAUGUAGAAAAAUAAUUUAACGAAGGUUAAAUUAAAUAAUAGUAAGAUAUAAAAACUGAAAUGUGAAUAUAAUUUUUUUUAUUUAAUGCAAUCUCUAGUUAAAAUAUGGCACCCACAAUUCAAUAAUUAGAAAUUAUAAAUAUUUUAAGCUGUGGGCUUUGAUUUUUAAGACAAAGUAUAACUUUUGUAAUUAAUAAAAUAAUAGUUUAAAAUUUAAAGGAUGAGACUAUCUAAUCAUUUGACAAUACUAUUUAGAAAUAUAUUAAAUUUUCUUUAUAAAAUAAAUAUUUUUUUUCCAGUGGGGGCUUGAGCCCCCAAUGGUCCUAUAGUGAAUCCGCCUCUGUGUUGUAUCACCAAGAAUCAAUAACGAAUUAUGCAGAAGUGUACCUGAAUCUAUAACGCUGAAUUGCUCUCUAGAGUUGUGUGGAUAGCCUUCUAGAUCUACAUAUUCUCUUAGAGAAUCGUUUAAUAUUCUCUGGGAUGUUAGUAGAGAAUAGAAAGAUACGUGUGACCUGAGGAUCAUAACCACUUAUAUAGAACUAUUUUUCUUGUUAUCACUGGGUAUUUCUAAUUCUGCACAUCAUAAAAUUAUAAUAUCAUUGGGUCUCUAUACAUUAAAGGCUCAACCCUAUUAGAUACAUUAAAGCCCGUAAUACCGAAAACCUUAAUAGAUCACUUUUAAUUGGGCUUAACUUUAGAUGACAGUUUAAAAUACAUAAUUAUUCACAUAUAAGCCCAACAUUGGAUUAAGGAUCCAAAAAAUAUUAGAUUAAAAAUCCAACAUAUUAAACCAUUGGGACCACAAAAUAUAACUCUCUUUGCAAAUUUGGCAUAUUAGGGAUGACAAAAUCUAGAUCUGUAUAUAGGUGCAUCUAGAUCUUGAUCUGCAUUAAUAUUUUGAGAUCUAGAUCCAGAUGCAGGUAAUAUUUGUUCAGAUUGUGGGCGGAUUUUUCAGGUAUUCAGGUCCGCAUAACACCAAAUUUAAAAUUUCACAUACAUUUGAGAUUUAACAGUUUUAACUAAGAAAAUGAAAUAAAAUUCAAUCAUAAUUUAACAAUUAAUAAUUCAAUAUCUAGAUUAACAUAUAACAACACUAUAAAUUCACAAAUAAAAAUAUGGUUAGCUAAGGAUGCUAAAUAUCUGUGAUAGUAAAAAAGAUGUAAUUAAAAAAAAUUGAUUUCUAUCUACAUUAUGGACGGUUAAGGCAACAAAAUCAAUGUUUUGAUUGGAAAAUCGAGAGGGAUGAGAGAGAGGGAAAUAAAUAUUUUGAAAAUCAUGAAUAAAGAUUGAAAGUGAGGGAUCAGAAGAUCAAUUCAAAUAUUUAGUAAUUAAUUUCAAAGAUUAAAUUUUGGGUGGAGAUAUUUCCACUCCAUAAAUUCAGUAAAUCCACCCU